CCUACGGGCGGCAGCAGUGGGGAAUAUUGGACAAUGGGCGAAAGCCUGAUCCAGCCAUGCCGCGUGUGUGAAGAAGGCCUUCGGGUUGUAAAGCACUUUCGGUGGGGAAGAAAGCCUUGGGGCUAAUACCCUCGAGGAAGGACAUCACCCACAGAAGAAGCACCGGCUAACUCCGUGCCAGCAGCCGCGGUAAUACGGAGGGUGCGAGCGUUAAUCGGAAUUACUGGGCGUAAAGCGCGCGUAGGCGGUCUGAUAAGCCGGUUGUGAAAGCCCCGGGCUCAACCUGGGAACGGCAUCCGGAACUGUCAGGCUAGAGUGCAGGAGAGGAAGGUAGAAUUCCCGGUGUAGCGGUGAAAUGCGUAGAGAUCGGGAGGAAUACCAGUGGCGAAGGCGGCCUUCUGGACUGACACUGACGCUGAGGUGCGAAAGCGUGGGUAGCAAACAGGAUUAGAUACCCGGGUAGUC
rnacentral:rRNA from 1 species